CUUUGGCGCUGAAGUGAAUAAAUCGCGAGGAAAGAUGAAAGUGUUUCUACAUUACGGACCCUUUCAGGGAUGAAAUGGCGCUGCCCGCGCGGAGCAAGCUGUGCUUCCAUUGAUUCGUGGUCUAAAGGCUGCUGGAGUUGAUGUGGCACCUAUGCAAGGCAAGAGGCGCUAUGCUUGCGAGCUGGUCAUGGACAAGAAAGUUGUUUGGAAAUGUACCACUGAAGAACUACUUGCAUUGGCUGAAAAGGGAUCUUCACUCGUCAGCGAAGCCAUAAAAGCCUGUAAAUCUGAGUAGAAACUGCAACCCUUCUUACAGACAAUAUGUUGACAUUCCCUGAACUUUGCAGUUUCAUUUGAUAUACAUCGUGGACUUCCUACAUUUUACAUUCAGAAGCUUACAGUACUAAAGAACCUUAAAUUCCUUAAGGUGUACCAUACUAUGUAUCUUUCGGUACAAUUCCAUUGUACAGUUGAAACUUGGUAUCGUUACCUUAGUGCAAAAAGUGUAUAAGUCCUUCUUUAAAUCAAUGCAUUUAUCCAUUUCUUGCAUUGAGGUGACGGUACAUCGAAGUCUACGGGAACGAGCGCUUUACUUCGAAAUAUAACAUUCGACCUAAAAUGUUUUCUCGGGACGGGACUGGGAAAUGUCUUAGAGAUAGCCGGAAUUUUUAACUGUUGAAGUCAAAUCAUCAUCUAGACUACACUAGGCAUGUAUAAUGGUUAUUUCCUUUUUAAUAUCUAUCGUUUAUAGACAAAGUAAAUGUAUUGAUGAUUUAUAAUGUAGUCUGAUCAAAUGUACUAAAACACACAAACACGUUAUUGUUUGCGUUGAACUUGUUUUAGAAUUAACAUCUACUGGAAAAGCUGUGAGAAAUAAAUUGUUUCGUUUGUUUGUUUUGGGUUUAACGCCGUCUUUUAACAGAAAAACAGUUGUAUAAAUAUCUAGUAAAAAGAUAUUUGAAACCAUCUAUAGGUUAUAUGUACCCAAUUUAAGCAUAGAAAUUAGAAAUUUACCAUGUACAUGAAGAAAGAAUUGGAAUUCAAAUAAGUUUCUAUUAGAGUUUUAAUCCCUUGUUUUAUUGAAACAUGUUUGUUGUUCUUUUUUGAUUGAUAAGGAAAAGACUAAUUUAUGCAUCAAAACGAUGUUUAAAGAAUGGAAAAGGAAGAAAUACAAAAAAGAGGAUUGUGGUUUGAACCCAAGACGGAAAAAUAACUGACACUACUAGUACGGAGUCCUAACCACUUUCGCUAAACUUGGUUCAUAAAUAUGUUUAAUGUAUUAUGUUAAUAACAAUUCGGGAGUAUUCCAGUGAUUUUCAAUAAUGAAUGGUAUACGUUAAGUGAUUCAUGUUAUAAGUUUUCAGCACAUACUUUAUUUUUUAGCGAAAAUGUAACCAGAUCUUCUGUUUCUGUUAAUGUCGAUUAGUUUAAUUACAGUAUUUUAUGCUAAUACAUGUAUAUGAUAAUGCGUAUUAUACAAUACUGACAUCGGACAGAAAUGAAGUGGUUGUCUAAAAAUGAGGGACAAACACUGAAAACGUCGUAGACUCAGUUUUGUACAGUAUGUGUUCAUACAAUU